GCCUGGGUGGCUUAGUUAGUUAAGCAUCUGACUUCAGCUCAGGUCAUGAUCUCAUGCCUCAUGAGUUCAAGCCCCACAUCAGGCU
rnacentral:tRNA from 1 species